UUAAAAAAAAUUCAGAAUAAAUGUACAGAGGAUACAAUUUAGUAAUUUUUGGAAGAAGAGACCUGCUUGGCGGCAGCAGAAGAGUCUCUAAUCUUAAAAGAAAAAAAAAGUAGGGUUUCUUCACAGGAGUUGCGGCCGGGGGUCGAGUGGUGUCUAAGUUCGUUCACUGCGGCGCCGACUGAAGCGGGAGAGUCAAACGGGGAACGUCGGGAGGGUCGGAGGCUCCGACUGCCGACGCGGUGAACCAGCUUAGCAUCACCCCGACCUCAGCUUUCUCCUUCUUUCGUCACCUCGAUCCCUGUGGCUUUCCUCUCGACCCUCCCACCUAUCUUCAUCUUUUUUCCUCAGCACUCUGUACGAGCAGCACGAUUUUGUAGUAAUUGUAUAAUCAACCCCUCUAAUUUGGUUACAUUAGUUGUUCUUGUGCCCAUGGGUGGGCUUGGGCUUGUUUUGGCCCCCCAACUUUUGGCUCCAACUUAAAGGAAGACGUUGAAAUUGUUAGAAUUAUAGUGUACUUAUCUUUCUUCAGAUGAAUUGGCUCCGAUUACAAUUAACUUAUUAUGUACUUUUGUAACAUGCUUAUCAAGAUUUGAGGUGUUCAGUAUUGAAAUUUUCAUCUAUCCCCAUUCUCUGAUUAGAAAACCCACAGUUUCCCCCUGUUUUAGAUUGUUUAAUUUUCCAGUUUGGUUAAUGACAAGCUCUAUAAGCCAUAUUGUUUGAUCUGGCUUGAUUUUGCUUCUAGAAACACCAGAUGGAUUAAUAACAUCUUUAACGGGAAGUGUUGGCAUUAACAUAAGAAGGGAUGUGGGCUUGUGAUUCCUCUGAAAGACAGAGGACGUUAUAAGAAUUAAGACCUUGUGACAUAGCCUCCUAUGGCGACAUAGCUGCUGCAAUACUACUCUGCAUCAGUUUUAAAUGUUGAUUUCUAUGCAAAAACUAAGGAUUAGCUUCCCAAGUAAGGACUAACGAAUAGUUUUGACAUAUUCAUGUUUAUUUCAUUUUCCAUGUUCUGUAUAUACUUUGAAAAUGUCGAGAUGUCAUGGCCAGCCUCUGAAACUUGUUGGCCAAAGGAAUAAUUAGUAAUUUCAAACCAUUUGGGCUACUUGCGAAAUUAUUGGGUCAAGAGUUGGAAAGUACAGCAUUUUGGAUGGUCAUUGAAUUCCUUUUUUUUUUUUUUAGACUAAGAUAUCCUCUACACUUCUCUAAUUCAUCCAUUGCACUUGCAUGGCAAUCAUUCUUUUCAUCCUGCAAAACGGUGACAAGAUAUAGGAAGUGCACUGUUAGUUUAUUUGGAUCUUUUGUUCUCACUACCACUUUAUUUAUACAUUAAAAAGGGAUCAACAUACUCGAUUUCUUACCUUCUUCCAUAAAAAGCAAGAGAGAAAACGAACUUUCGGUCUUUGUUUAUAAGGCUUAUUACUCCCAUUUUGAGCUUAGUUCCAUUUGUUGACCACAUAUUAUUUGCAAAAAGCAUAGGUAGGGGAUAUGCCUGUGUGUUUCAAUCAGUCUAAAGUUAGUGGUAUACCAAUUUCCUGGUCUUUGGUGUUGAUUGCAGUGGAAAGUUUCACCAAAAUCUAUUGCUAGUAUUUCAUUUUUCUUUUCAAUUUUCUGGGUGCUCAUUAUGUCUCCUUGUUUGUGGCUGUUUGUGACAGUCCUUUUUUCCUGCACAGCAUUUCUUACGAAAUGUUGAAGUUCCUAUACCUUCUUCCACCUAAGUAUUGCGGCCUUCACUUGAACUCCAGGUUGGCUAAUCAUGGCGAACGAUUGUAUUACUUAUAAACAAUGCUAGAACAUAGAUGAUGGAUCCACUCCUUUAAUACCAAAAGUAGUAUUUUUUAAUUUCUUAUUAUGGGAAAGAAGAAUUAGCGUGCUUAACUUCUCUAGAUGCCGUUCAUCAAUGAAGGUGUUCUGUUAGAUGAAGUUAAGGAAAAAAAAUGUUUUUCUUCAAUUGGAGUUUGGUUUUCUUUUGGCUUCAUUUUAAAGUUAAAGAUUCUUGUUUCUAUCACUGGACUAAGCCUGAAACAUGACAUAAGUCAGUCACAGUUUCAGUUUGAUGUUUCCGAAAUUUCAUAGCAUGACUAUUCAUACUUAUUUUCCCUUCUGCAGUAAGUUGCUCAAGAAAUGUAUAAUUUCUUUUGUGGAUGUUUGGGGCUCAAAAAAGUUACAAAAUUUGUCAAUAUUUUUUUCCUCUUUGUGAUCCUGUGGUGUUUUUGGGCAUGAGUUCCUCCUAUUUGCUUAUCAUUAAAAAAAACAGAAGUUCCUGAUAUUUGCUUUUAAUAUUGAUAACAUAUUGAUAACUGAGCAUUGGCAUCUUGCUGUUGCUCUAAUGAAUGAUUGAGACCUAAGAGUUUUCAUGUGAUGGCUGGUGGCUGGGACUUCACACCUUGUUCAGAACAGUACUAUCCAAGUGAUCAUGCUCUGCCGGAUAUCAAGGUGAGGACAAUUGGUAUGCAUUUUAACUUAUGUCAAAGAUGACUUUAAAAAGUAAGCCUAGGUUAAAAUUGAUGUCAAUAACCUUCAUGUGCUUUGGGUUACCUUAUCUUGUUUCUUUUUUUUUUAUUAUUGAAUAAAAGUCCCCUCUACUGUCUAAAAUAGACAACGUGCUCUCCAUCCAUCAACUGUUAGGUUUUUCAUUUUAUUAAAUUUGCACGGGUGACCUCUUAUAAAUGUCUCUAAGAUAUGAGCUUAACUUAUAAUUAUCCCACGUUUAAGGGAUGAACUUACUUUUCGCACAAAAAGUUUACAGAUUAGAUGAUGAUAGCAUAACCAGUCCCAGAAAGGGGAUGAACUUGUUGAUUUCUUAUUAUAAGGGGAACUCUUCAACAAAGAGUAUAGGGUGGCAAAAAUAAAUAAUUAAAGGGAGUUUCAAGACAUUUUUGAGCUUUAAGUUAAUAAACCACAGGAUUAGAGAACAAGAGCGAGUGUUUUGGUAAUAAAGAAGUUUCUACAUCAUUAAGUAUAUAUAUACGAUAUGGAUCAAAUGGAGAAAUGAUAGUUCUUAGUUGGCAUCUUAGUCCAACUGCUUUAGGAUGACUUGUGAUGUUGAGUGGGCUUGCAUCUCUACUAUUACAUAUGUAGACCACUCGCAUCACGGUCUAGCAGAGGGGGUACUGGAGAAAUUGUCAGGUGCUCUUGUGCGCUUCAUUCUCAUUUGUUGUCAAGUAUUAUAAACUUUGCUAUUAUACUUCAUAUAAUAAUACCUGGCACUCUCCAUGAGCCUGUAAAAUCGUUCGGGAUGAGAGUGACAAUGAUGGUUUUAUUCCAUUCGAGUAGUUUCUCAGUCUAUACUACAUAGUUUUUCAUUUGAUUGUUUUCAUUUGAAUCAAACGAUUUACUAUCAUGCACUUUCUUGUAUCAACUUAAUCUAUCAAAAAGAUCUUCUGCAAAAGAUGGCUUGAACAUUGGCCCACAUAAUGACUGUGAACCUUUCAAGUAUAUCGACUUUUUUCUUGUCGUGAAGGUCAUUUCACUUACAUCUGUUUUCCAGACUUAGUUGUUUCUGUCAUUACACAGAUACCAUCACUUGUCAAUUCAUUUGUCUGCACUUUCUGCUAACCUUUUCAAACUCAUCGUGACUCUAAGUAUUCAUUGCCUCAGCUUACUAAAUUUACUCAACUAUGAACUCUGAAGUGUCAUAGAUGCUAACAUGGAAAAGGGGAACAUGAUUCAUCAACUAUGAUCUGUGAAGUGUCAUGUGUAGACCUAAGGUUCGAACAACAAAUUAGAUCUACUUUGUCAGUCUUGUGGCGUGUUAUAAAUCAUCCCUUGAGUUUUACCCUUAUUUCCAAUCCUUGUCCUUGGACUGUUAUGAUCCGUUCCUCAUGAGAUCUUUGCACUUAACGAGUUGAUGACAUGAGAACAAGCCCUAAAUUGAGAUGGACCGACGCAAAGGGAUCUUCUCUUACAUGCAAUGGUUUGGAGGGGAUGGGCCAGCAUUUACUACUCAUACAUAUAUACAUAUAUUCUCAGAGUCCGUCUUCGUACAUUGAACAGUGGCUUUAACCUCAAAUAUCUUUCUGAGGCUCAAUAGAAGUGCAGCCAGUGUGUUCUCUCAUCCUGGACGAGUAAUCACGUGUACAAUCUGAGCCUGCUAGUGAUUGGCUGGCGACAUAUGGGACAACUGGACAAUCUUCGUUCGCAUUCUCCGCAAGUCUGCAAUUAAUCAUGUUCACUGUAUCAGUAAGCCUAGGAAGGAGAGCUGUAGUUAACAAUAGCAAAAACACUUUCAAGAAGCUUCACCAUGUGACCGCAACCAAAUGCCAUGUUCUUGGGAUUUGUCAGGCAAACAGGGCACACCUAUACAGAGAACAGGCAGAUGGAGAAAAGAGGUAGUGAGCAAUUUUCUCAGUAUAGGAAAGUCAUCUGAUAUGUUGCCGUUUUUAAGAUAUUGUCAAUGAGUCCCAUUGCUAGGUAAAAUUAUGUUGUGGAGUCUGGACCCAACCUACUUAUUUGCUAGAGCCAGGGAUCCAUAGAUAACUGUGAAAGGAAACUACUCCUGGGUUUAUUUCUUCAACGACUGCAUGCCAUUUUGGUUUAUCGCAGGACCAACUUCCUUGCAUUGUGUAAUGGAAUACCCCCAAAGGAUUAUAUCGGAAAGAUUUGGCGGAAUGCUUUCAAUAUCA